CCUAGCGGCGGACGGGUUAGUAACGCGUGGGAACGUGCCCUUCACUACGGAAUAGUCCCGGGAAACUGGGUUUAAUACCGUAUACGCCCUUCGGGGGAAAGAAUUUCGGUGAAGGAUCGGCCCGCGUCUGAUUAGGUAGUUGGUGGGGUAAUGGCCUACCAAGCCUACGAUCAGUAGCUGGUUUUAGAGGAUGAUCAGCAACACUGGGACUGAGACACGGCCCAGACUCCUACGGGAGGCAGCAGUGGGGAAUCUUAGACAAUGGGCGCAAGCCUGAUCUAGCCAUGCCGCGUGAGUGAUGAAGGCCUUAGGGUCGUAAAGCUCUUUCGCUGGGGAAGAUAAUGACGGUACCCAGUAAAGAAACCCCGGCUAACUCCGUGCCAGCAGCCGCGGUAAUACGGAGGGGGUUAGCGUUGUUCGGAAUUACUGGGCGUAAAGCGCGCGUAGGCGGACUGUUAAGUCGGGGGUGAAAUCCCGGGGCUCAACCCCGGAACGGCCUUCGAUACUGGCAGUCUGGAGUUCGAGAGAGGUGAGUGGAAUUCCGAGUGUAGAGGUGAAAUUCGUAGAUAUUCGGAGGAACACCAGUGGCGAAGGCGGCUCACUGGCUCGAUACUGACGCUGAGGUGCGAAAGUGUG
rnacentral:rRNA from 1 species